UUUUCUUUACAAAAUAACCACCACUCUCUCUGACACUAUUUAAUAAAAGCUUUAUUAAAAUGAAGCCAAAACAUUAACACCAUUUAUAUGUACAAGACCAUUAAACAUUUUUUCUAUCUUUAAUAAAUGUUCUUCCAUUUUUGUCAUUUAUUACUUUCCUAAUUUGAAAAAUUGAUUAAUGUGAAGAAACAUUACUAAAUUAAACAAAUGUAAAGUUUAAAUUUAAUUAUUAAAUGGUUGAGUUUAAAGUUGACAGCUAGUUUAAGGUAGAAGACCUUCAUAAUCCAAUUACUUUUACUUGGUUUCAGAACUACCCCUAGGCAAAUUCUCCUAAAAUAGAAACUACAUGCAAGAAAAACACAAGCGAUGUUCAUCAUUUAAGAUAAACUUUAAAAGUUAAAUUUUUAAAAUUAAUUUUAAUAAAAAUUGGUUUGUUACCAGUUAGCUAUAUAACCUAGAGCCAAUCAAUCUCUGUGUGUUUUCUCUUUUGUUAAAUGUAGAACUUAAUUCUUGCUCUAUAUACCUCUCAGGAUUGUGAGAAUAAAGAUGAUACAUGUCAAAUCAACUUGGAAAUUAUGGCACUAUUGUAGAGGUGGCAAGAAAUGGGAAAUACUUUAGCAGACAUAUUGGACUAAGUUCCCAGCCAAGAACCAAAUAAUUUAAAAAAUAUUUAAGUGCAAAGAAACCACUAAGGCAACAUGUAACCUCCUUUUACUAACAAAUAGAUGUAGUAAUAAGACAAAUCCAGGCAUAUAGUACUUACAUCACUUUAUGAUAAUACAUGCUAAGGAAAAGUAAAAUUGGCCAAACCCUGAAAGUUUCUGUUCUGUAUAUGUAUGGACACCCCCAAUGCAUGCCAUGCUGGUAGUGGGGAUAUGGAGCUGAAUGGGAUCGAGUCACUGCCCUCCAGAGGCUUGCAGUCUGGAACGACCUGCUGAAAAUAGACAAAAAUCCCGCACUAUGGCAACAGAGAAAGACGUGCUGAACCGUCUUCCAGAUCAGGCCAGGCCUCCCAGGCUGAUGGGAGAGCUCAGUCUUCAAGGAUAUGUCAAAGAUUGCUAUGUGAGAAAAGGAAGGAAAAGGCAUUCUAGGUGGAAGGAACAGGCUAGAUCAAGGCAUGAGACAGAAAGAAUAGAUGUUUAGAAUACAUUUAAUUAUAAUAACCAGUAUUCAAUAUUUUAGAAAUUGUUAAAAAGACAAUCAGCAAAACCACUAUUUAUUGAGGUUCCAAAAUAUAUUGGGCUUGUGUUAAGGGCUCUGAUACAUACUUAGUUAAAAAUAUAAUGAAACUAAGGUCCAGGGAUGUUACUUAGCUUGCUGAUAAUGUUGUGGGCAUAUUAAUAGGGUGUCUUUUUUUCACAGUAUCAGGCUGAUGAUUUUUAAAGUUCUCCAGUUUGAUUCUUAUCUGUAGGCACAUCUUUGUAAUAAACGUAAAAUAGCAGCAUUCUUUACAUGGCAUAAGGUAGUUACAAUUCCUUCCAAAGGAAUAAGAACUAGGAAAUUCCUGGGAAUAGUCAUUAUAGGUCAAUUUGACUCAACCAAUUGUC
rnacentral:lncRNA from 10 species